GCAUAAGGCAGUAAUCAAUCCGCCAAUAAAGUGAUAUUAAGAUUAAAAUUCAAUAAUUAUUUCAAUCAUUCGAUAGAAAGAGCAUGGCUAGAUCUAUGAAGGAUUUGAUAAAAGUUAAAAUAAUCUCAACAAUAAGUAAUUUAAAUUGAAACUCAACAAAUAGUUUAAUUUAACAAUGGAAAAAGCAUGACUGAAUCCAUGAGAAAUUUAUUAAAAGUCAAACAAAUUUCAAUACUAAUUCACACGAGAAAAUCCAAAUCUAGAGAUUAUUAAGCAAAGAUAGUUCGAAUUACAUGAAAUUAUGACGUGAAAUCUCCAAAUCCAAUGAGUUCCUUCGUUGCUUCACCGAGUUCCUUAGUUUUCCAUGGAGUUUCUUGAGCACCAAGAUGAAAGAAAUAGGUCUGGGGGCGUCUCCCUUCGUUCUGGGUGGUUUUGGGCAUUUAUAUCCCGUGAAAAUUAGGUUACCAUAAGAGAUUCAAUCGUAUAAGGAAACUGAGAUACGGCCGCCAAAAAAACACUAUGCGACCGCAUGGUUAUUGUCAUUACGGUCGCAUGGUUAUGCAUUUUCAGCCUCUUCAAUUCUCGGUAUAGGAGUGUGCGACCUCAUAGUAGAAAGGCAUGCAGCCGCAUGGUUCCGCCAGACAGCUUUCAUUUUUUUAAUCAUAACUUUCUUUCCCGAUGUCCAAUUGAGGUGAUUCAAGUUGCAUUGGAUAGCUAACUCAAGGGCCACAAUUUUUAUUCAGAAGUCAUCUCCCAAUUAGAUCAUCUUCCAUGUCAAAAAUGGGUCCCAACAUGAGACUAAAAACUGGUGGGUUGGUUUUCGAUUGGAAAUUGAUGUAUUGAUCAAACUUUGAUGUUAUUUCAUCCCUUUGACUUCGUUCCUCAUCCACUUGACCUCUAACACUUUUGAAUCUUCAUCAUAAUCUUGGACACAAGUUUGGAUCAUUUGCACUUUAGUCCUCGAACUUUCGUUCUCUUCUACUUUGGUCAUUUUUCACUUGUUUCUUCCGAAUUUCAUCUUUUUCACCAAAAUGCAACCUAAACCAAAAUAUAAGAGUAAUGAGUGUAUUUUGGCUUAAUAUAAUCACAUGAAUGCAAUAGUUAAGAGGGGAAAAUAUGGUAUUUUACACUCUUAUCACACCCUCCAACUUGCUUAUUGCUAGUCCCUAGCAAUUUAAUGCAAAGUAAAGCAAAUGAGUGAUUGGUCCAUAUUACAAGUGAAAUUGUUAAGUUCUAAUUCAAUAGUAGUUCAUUCUCUUUUCAAACUCAACACCACUAGAAAUUAACAAUCUUAUGAUCAUCAAGAUAUCAAAAACACUUGCUAAAUGUGUAAGUGUGUGUCAAGCCAUAGCCUUCUUACUGCCAACCCUAACGCAUGCAACAUCGAGCGUAUCUCUAGCUAAAGGUCCAACCCCAUAACUCACAGAUAUUAAAGUGUUUAGUGCGGGAUAUCUCUCUAUGGAGCUGGGAAAGAUGCACACUCAGAACAUGGAGGCUUUAAUAAUUAGCAACAAGCAGACAUUGAUCACAUGAUAGGCAUACUUUCAAAUGAGAAUUCACCAAUUUCUUACCACAAACUGACUUGAGAUCAAAACAGUCAAUGCAAAGGGUGUGAAAGGGUUAAGCUGGGUUAUAUGAAAAGUAGGGUGAAAAGAAUUUAGGGACUUCCAAGUAUCUAAUUAGACAUCUCAACAAGUAAUUCAACAUAGCAAUCCUUUACAUCAACACAUUCCUUAACCUUUCAAUUCCUAAUAACAAUCCACUCUCUUUUUUUUUUCUUUUUUUUUUUCAAAAUUUUUUUUCUUUU
rnacentral:lncRNA from 1 species